GCUUACGUCCAUACCACCCUGUCUGUGCCUGAUCUCCUCUGAUCUCGGAAGUUAAGCAGAUUCAGGCCUGGAUAGUACUUGGAUGGGUGAUAGCCUGGGAAUACCAGGUGCUGAAAGCU
rnacentral:rRNA from 1 species